rnacentral:tRNA from 1 species
GCCUGGCUGGCUCAGUCAGCAGAGCAUGUGACUGUUGAUCUUGGGGUUGUAGGUUCAAGCUUUGCGCUGGGUG